GAAGCUGGAUUCGCUAGUAGUCGCGGAUCAGCACGCCGCGGUGAAUACGUUCCCGGGCCUUGUACACACCGCCCGUCACACCAUGAGAGUCUGUAACACCCAAAGCCGGUGGGAUAACCUUUAUAGGAGUCAGCCGUCUAAGGUAGGACAGAUGAUUAGGGUGAAGUCGUAACAAGGUAGC
rnacentral:rRNA from 1 species